CCGGCAACGGCGCGCUUGCCCCGCAACUGCGAGCCCCGACCCCACGUGGGCGGCCGAGAGGCCGUCAUCUGUGAAACCCUAGGACAGGACGAGAAAACGCGCUUUUCCUGGAAAUCCCGCUCCUCUGCCCGUCCCGCGCCCCGGACCCCACCUCUGCGCGCUGCUGGCGGAGGAGCCGUUUCCCGGGGGAGAUAACGCCCGAACGCAAACGGCCAGCUCGCACACCGUUUCCUCCGCGCUGGAGUGCGGACCUGCAAUGACAGCCUGCGUAGCGCUGGCACAGCCAAGAGGAGGAAACGGACCAGGGCUUGCUGCCCUCCCAGUGAGAGCUGCAAGUCUCUCCCGUCUUGGCCAGCCUUUGCACAGCUUCUGCCUUGGGAAUUCAUCUCUGGAGAAGAAAACCUGGCCAAGGAUGAGUGAGGACUCCUUAUUACAGCAGUCUCACCUCCUGGAGGGAAAGUAUAUGCAACACACCUAGGCAUGUGUGGGCUUUGAGAACUGAAAAUGCAGCAUCAGCCUCCAGCACUUUUGCCAUUCGGGUUGUCGGCAUUGCUUUGCUCUUAAGAAGAACGCAGGCCGGGCGCGGUGGCUCAAGCCUGUAAUCCCAGCACUUUGGGAGGCCGAGGCGGGUGGAUCACGAGGUCAAGAGAUCGAGACCAUCCU
rnacentral:lncRNA from 1 species